AACAUGCUCCAGAAUAAAGGCUUUUGUAUGAGUUUCAGUUCCAACUAAGAUUUACUAGAAGUCUUUUAAAAAGUAACACCUAAAACUAAUCGAGACGAAAGAGAUCCUUAGUAUCUUAUUUGGAGGGAUGUUACACACAGGAACUUCCGGUUUAUUCACAAUGAGGUGAGACAUCUACCAGGCUUUGAGACAAACUUUUAACUUUUCCUAUGAACUCUUCUCUAAAGCAGGUCACGGGGAAAAAAAGGGUUUAAAGAGAACUAACUUCUCCGGGCAAAAACUGAGGUUAGCGGGCCUAUCAGCUGUUUCUUCUCACUCCACCACUGCUGCUGACUGGAGGAGCAGCCUGGAAAGCAGCCGCCCUCCCGCAAACAGUACCAAAUAUACUCCCUGGAAUCUUCACUACGAUCAAGAUAAUGAACCUAUUCAUCACCCCCAGAAGUUUCCUCGUGCCCCUUUGUAUUACUUUUGUUUGUAAUAGCAGAAUGACGCAUCAUCCAUAAAAAAUGUGAAUGUGAGGACGGUGGGACCAUCCUGGCACACUGAGCAGCAGGGACCUCCGAGCCCUCAGAUGUCAUCCAGCCAGGUGUGUGGGGGCCACUCGCCAUGCACAGCUUCUCUCAGCAGAGGCUGACCAGAAUGGUGGUGAUAUGAAGAGUUGGGGAAUUCGACUUGAAUACAAAACAUAAUACUCCUUUCACUUAAAAAGGUUGGUGAACCAUACUCCAACAGAAAGGGGAAAUAAAACUGGCUCUGCUGGAGUGAGGAAGCUGACUGAGGGAAGAACCAGAAAGCUGCCAAAAUACAAUUGUGUGCCUUUAAAGGAAAUAACAACAAGAAUUAGGAGCGCCCUGGAGGCAAGGUCUGCUGCUGGGGAAACCAAACCACAGUAACUUCAGAAAUAUAUACUUGGAAUAUGUCAUGUAUUAAUGGGUAAAGACACCAUGGAUAUGAAGGAAAUCACCUAUGGGAGAAUAUUAAGAAGAGAAGAAGGGGCUGCUGGCUGUAGUGAAAUGUAUAAAAAGGAGAGUGUGAUCCUAGUUUCUGUCUCUAACUAUGAGUUACUUGUGAUUAACUUCAAAUAUUCUCUCCAUAAGAAGAGGCCCAGAAGAAGAAGAUGAGCUUCAGUUAUUCUAGCACAACUGCUGUGAUAUUUGUAAAUAUUCAAAACCUAUAAUAAAAUGUAUAAAAGGAAA